rnacentral:rRNA from 1 species
AACGAACGCUGGCGGCAGGCUUAAUACAUGCAAGUCGAGCGCCCCGCAAGGGGAGCGGCAGACGGGUGAGUAACGCGUGGGAAUCUACCCAUCUCUACGGAAUAACGCAUGGAAACGUGUGCUAAUACCGUAUACGUCCUUCGGGAGAAAGAUUUAUCGGAGAUGGAUGAGCCCGCGUUGGAUUAGCUAGUUGGUGGGGUAAAGGCCUACCAAGGCGACGAUCCAUAGCUGGUCUGAGAGGAUGAUCAGCCACACUGGGACUGAGACACGGCCCAGACUCCUACGGGAGGCAGCAGUGGGGAAUAUUGGACAAUGGGCGCAAACCUGAUCCAGCCAUGCCGCGUGAGUGAUGAAGGCCCUAGGGUUGUAAAGCUCUUUCACCGGUGAAGAUAAUGACGGUAACCGGAGAAGAAGCCCCGGCUAACUUCGUGCCAGCCGCCGCAGUAAUAC